rnacentral:rRNA from 1 species
CAGCAGCCACGGUAAUACGGAGGGAGCUAGCGUUGUUCGGAAUUACUGGGCGUAAAGCGCACGUAGGCGGUUAUUCAAGUCAGAGGUGAAAGCCCGGGGCUCAACCCCGGAACUGCCUUUGAAACUAGAUGACUGGAAUCUUGGAGAGGUCAGUGGAAUUCCGAGUGUAGAGGUGAAAUUCGUAGAUAUUCGGAAGAACACCAGUGGCGAAGGCGACUGACUGGACAAGUAUUGACGCUGAGGUGCGAAAGCGUGGGGAGCAAACAGGAUUAGAGACCCCUGUAGUCCCUGUCUCUUAUAC